rnacentral:rRNA from 1 species
UCUGUUGUUAGGGAAGAACAAGUGCGAGAGUAACUGCUCGCACCAUGACGGUACCUAACCAGAAAGCCACGGCUAACUACGUGCCAGCAGCCGCGGUAAUACGUAGGUGGCAAGCGUUGUCCGGAAUUAUUGGGCGUAAAGGGCUCGCAGGCGGUUUCUUAAGUCUGAUGUGAAAGCCCCCGGCUCAACCGGGGAGGGUCAUUGGAAACUGGGAAACUUGAGUGCAGAAGAGGAGAGUGGAAUUCCACGUGUAGCGGUGAAAUGCGUAGAGAUGUGGAGGAACACCAGUGGCGAAGGCGACUCUCUGGUCUGUAACUGACGCUGAGGAGCGAAAGCGUGGGGAG